rnacentral:lncRNA from 1 species
UUCACCGCGCACGGCGAGGUUGCACAUGCAGCGCCGCCUCAGUCUCCACACCGCCGCCGCAAUCACCAUCUCCACGCCGUCCACCAUCACCAAAAUUUCUCGUCGAUCCGACUUGCCCGGCCUCCUCCAUCCUUGGCGCCUCGCUCCGAUCCGCCCGGCCUCCUCCGUCCUUGGCGCCUCGCUCCGAUCCGCCCGGCCUCCUCCGUCCUUGACGCUGCGUCAGAAUCUGGCCGCUGGUCUCGCCGACCCCCGCCUUCUCCGUCCUUGGUGCCCCUGUUAGAAGCAGUAGCAG